GCACGGUGGCUUAGUGGUUAGCACCUGCACCUCACACUUCCAGGGCCCAGGGUUCGAUUCCCGCCGGAGCA